CUUCCUGCUUUCAAAGUUGCAAUGAGCGCAGAGCGGUGCGCCCGAGGGGGUUGAAGCGUUGAAAGUGUGUUACCCAGAUUUUAUCUGAGUUAAACACGGGCCGGCCGCUGUGGCUCACGUCUGUACUCCCAGAGCCUUGGGAGGUCGAGGCGGGAAGAUCGCUUGAGCCCGGGAGCUCGAGACCAGACGCGGCAACAUGGCGAGACGCACAUCUCUGCCUUUAAAAAUGUACAUAUAUAUAUAUAUAUAUGAACGUAUUAAUAAAUUAGGUGGGAGGAAGUGACCUCCUCCGCCCAAAUAAAAAUACUUAAAGGGCACUUGAAUCUGGAUCUCAGAAAAUGAAUAAUUUCUUAGUAUAAACGUCCUGUGCACCAUUUGGUUGGGACAAGUGGCGCGUUUACCCUAUUUUAAAAAAGUUUUAAGUUUUAGCCAACCGGGAUCAGCUUAGAUUGUGGGCGUCCAACCCCAGCCAACAGGGAAAGGACAGAGGAACAGAAGCUCCCUUCCUUUGUCCCGUGUGCUCUGGAGAUUGCAUCCCACGCAGGCAGCCCCCUUCCGUACAAGAGAGGCUGGCGGUUACCUUUCUUGGGGAGACGCGUCCGACUGCUUCAUUGUGGGGGCCUCAGGAGCGGAGGAUCGGGUCCCGCCCGAGGUGACGCGUAAACCCAGACUCUCAGCAACGCGGGUAGGAAGGACCCUUGAAGUUCCGCGGCGACCACGUCGGCUGAAACCAGCAGCCCAGGACAAGUGGACCAGCCAGCAAGACCCAGACCAUCCAAACCGGCUGAUCCUACGACAGGACCCAGAUGCCAGUGAAAGUGACCACAGCCCUGCUCUAGUCACCCCGGAAGCUGACCAGUCUACGCACGGCCGAAGCUUCGUCAAGGAAGCCUCCACCCCUCGAAUUCCCAGUUCACCGACACCAGCCUGGGGAUCACCUCCUUGUCAGAAGUUGGAAAGAGGAAAAACUCAGCCAACCUGGGAAGGACUUUAUCGGGUGCUCCUGACCACCAAGAUGACGGUCGGAAAGGGCCCCAUCCCUGGAGGGAUCUUGGACCUUCACUCCAGGAUCAACGCCUUCCAAAUUAACAUUCAAAAAGGUUUAAUCUGUCUCUUCCUUCUCCCUGUAGCCGCCCAAGGACGUCUUAUUAUCAAUAUAAGGUGAUCACCCUUUCCCCAGCUAGUUUCGUUUGAUGCCUGUCUGGUUCAUAUACCCCGUAAAGAUAUCCACAGCCAAAGACAGCCUCUUCUGAAGAAAAUCCUUGGCCCAGCCCUUGUAGUAACCGGUACCCUGGGGUGCCAUUCCCUGUUGAAAUUCGCUCAGGAUGGUGGCAGAAAUAUUAAAGGGAAACAUUAGGUAAAGUUAGAGAAAAUAGUCACAAACCGGCCGGGCGUGGUGGCUCACGCCUGUCAUCCUAGCACUUCGGGAGGCCGAGGCAGGAGGAUCACGAGGUCAGGAGAUCGAGACAAUCCCGGCUAACAUGGUGAAAC
rnacentral:lncRNA from 1 species